AUGAUUAUCAAAUUUAAGCUCUUUUUAAAGUUUUGUUUUUUUUUUUUUUUUUUUGCCUUUUUUGUAAGCUGUCAUAGUAUAACUUAUUUCACCCCUGAGGCUGUCACUUUUUCUCGUGAAAAAGUACAACACAGCUAAGAUUUUCGUGGUGUACCCAGUUGUAGAUUAAAAAAAAAAAAUCAUGUUCUUAAUUAUCUACAAUUCUAGGAAGAAAAGCAACUACUGUGAUUACUCAGGGAACAGAAAAUCCUCUCUGUGUUCUUUCUAAGCAACAUUGCAUAAGAUAUAAAGAAGAAAACAUCUAUUUUAUUUUGAAAUAAGCAUCAAAAGAGCUUGCCUGGUGGGAUUAUAAAAGAGUUCAGUUGGGCUGAGAGUUGCUUAAGCUGGAAGUGCCACACUGUAAGGGAGGGAACAGAAAGAACAGCAGUCCUUUCAGGGGAUUACAGGGCAGUGCUGUGAGCCUGAGAGGCUGCAUUCAGCUACUGGCUGAAACAAAGGCAGAGCCAGAGCUACUCUUAAGUGGAGGGAGAGUGAAUAAAGAAAAUGCCUGGAAUUCAAAAGCUGCCUCUCAACUGGGAUUCAGGAUUGUUCUUUUUGUUUCCUAGGCAUCAAGAAAUCUACAAAUGUUUGGAAAAUAUGUAUACUUUUGAGGUGAGCUGAAUAUGGCUGGGACUUCUGCUUAUCUAGUCUUCAAUCUCCAAUCUCCUCAAUUAGAAGAGGAAAAAUAAAACAGACAGAAUGAAAAAGAUUGCCAUGAGGGAAGUUUCCACUUAAAAAAAAAUAUAUGGAUUGUAAUAGAGGUCAAAACCGAGCUUGAACCUCCGAAGUAUUGGGAUAAGGCUGUGCACUGUGGCUCAUGCAUGUAAUCCCAGCACUUAGGGAGACCAAGGCAGGAGGAUUGCUUGAGACCAGGAGAUCGAGACCAGCCUAGGCAAUAAGUGAGACCUUGUCUCUACAAAAAAUUUAAAAAUUAUCGAGGUGUGGCUGCACUGGCCUGUAGUCCCAGAUACUGAGGAGGCUAAGGCAGGAUAAUCUUUUGAGCCCAGGAGGUUAAGGCUGCAGUGAGCUAUGAUUGCACCACUACACUCCAGCCUGGGUGACAGAGUGAGACUUUGUCUCCAAAAAAAAAAAAAAAAAGAAACAAUGGUAGGUGUGCUCCUGAUUUUGUUCAGUGUUGCCCAAUAAACAAUCCUUUGUUUGAAGUCUUGCCCAUGUCUACCUCUGCCAUAAGACUUUCCCAGGCAUCUCAGCUCAAAGUGAUCUAGAUUCAUAGCACUUAUCGCUAGUAUUGCACAUAUGGCACCAAAUACUUAUGGCCUUGAAUUUUCAUUGAGAUAUGUUGGAUUUGAAUUGACUUUGAAACAUUCUAAGGGAGAAUUCCAGCAGAAAAUUGUGAACUUAAGUCUGUCACUCAGGAAGGGUGCAGUCUAGAGAUACAGAGAUAUAAAGGUGAAAAUCUUCAGAAAAUAGGUGGUAACUGAAACCAGAAGAUAGAACAGGAGUACCUAAAUAAAGGUCUGUAAAAUGAGGAAAGAAAGUUCAGAAAGAAUUCUUAAGAACAUCAUUACUUAAGAAGUACAUAGUAGAAAAAUUAGUGAAAGAUAAUUGUAAGACGUCAGAAAGAACGGUUAAGAUGACAGAAAGAAUGGCUGCUUUAUGCAGGUUUUUAGUUUCCCCAAAGAGCGAGGUAUUGUAUUGUUGAUUUCUGUGUUUUCCAGGACACCUAUCAUAAUUUUAUGCGUGUAGUAUGCCCUCAAUAUUUAUUGAACAAGACAUGAGGAAUAAACACAUAUAAAUAUUGUUCUUAGUUCUCUUUUGAUUGUUCUUUUCUCAGCAUCAACACCAGUACCACUCCUAUUCCAGCGUAUUUAUCUCACCUUUCAGAAGAUAUUGGGUAACAGCAGGGGGCCUGUUAAUGGAGGACUCUGACCUCUAGGGGGAGCUCAAGGAGAAGAGUACUGAAUGAGGGUCCAGACAGUCCUCACUGGGUCACUGUAGUAGCAGAUUGAGCUUUUGGUGAAUUACGAAGGGCUAAGAAGGUCCUGCUUCCACAUGGCUCAAUCUUUAGUUCUUUUGAAAUCAUACCUGUCUUUAAAUGUCACAUGACAGUAAGCGAAUCUAGGCUUAAGUCCCUCGUGGAAAAACUUUCCUAACAUGGAAAACCUAAACAAAAUGCCACAUAGGAUCUAUGGGUUAAAAUAAUGGCCAAAAAACUACAUAUAGCCACUGAAAUGUUUGGCCCAAGGUGUGUGUGUAUGUUCAAUAAUUUGAAUAACUUUGGAACAGGCAUAAAUUUACCACUCUGCCACAGCCCUAACACUUCUUUCACCUAAUACCUGCCCCACUUCACAAAUUUAUUUCUUACCUUUUUGGUCUCUGUAGGCAUUUGAAUUUGCAAAUAUUGUUGAAAUUUUUAAAAGUAUAUUUUUCCAGGUUACAUUCUCCAGACUUUCAUGGUUA
rnacentral:lncRNA from 1 species